AUAUUAGCUCUAUAAAUAUGAAAAGUCAGUAAAAUAGUGGCCCCUAUUCUUUUUCAAAAGCCUUCAUUUCAUGUCAUAACUAAAAAUUAAACCAAUCCAAGGCUAGUACAGCCACACGUUUUAAAAGAAAGGAGUCGAUUUCAAAUAUACAAGCCAGCCAAGUGCAAAGAACACUACUCAUUGUUUCGGGUAAAAUCCUUCCCUCUCGUAAAGAUUGUGCCUCCAAUUUUAGUUCAGAAAGAAGCAGAAGAAAAUUAGUAUAUGUUUUUUCCCUUUUGCAGCUCACUAUCCACAACAACAGAAACUCAAGAGGCAAGACAAGUAAAAUACCAAAGGAAAAAGUAUGGUUUCUGACUGCUACAUAGAUGAAAGCAGAUGAACAACAGGAUCAUUUAUAAAAGAUACAAGUGUCCAUACAGUUUACAGAUGAAGAAAACUGAAGUUUAAAAUGGUAAAGCCACAUGUCUUAAGAUCAUUAAAUAGUGCAGCCAGGCCUUGACUUCAAAUCUUAAGAAAGAAACAUGACACUUUUUCUUGGAAAUCCUUCUACCUUGAACAUCUUUAAGGAAAAUAGACAACUCACCAG